AAAUGAAGGGGUGCGCUGUCCGCACCAUAAGCCCCGUUGACGUUAAAUGCCCGCUUCCUCAUUCCCCGCGCAAAAAUACUUAAUAGCACACUCCUCCAGUUUUACUUCUUCCUACGAGUGCGAGUGGGGAUGCGCUUCGCUUUUCAGGACACUAGUUUGUUCGUUCCUUCACCCUCACCUUCAUUCCUUCGCCUCCUUCACUGUCACUCUUCGUUACAUUCAUUUCUUUGAGCUGUUCGACGAAAUGCCGAAGAGAUGGUUUUGUUUAUGGCGACUUCGAGCCAUUUCCUGUCAUCGUCUCAUCCCAUCGGAUAUUGCCCCGACUUCCCCUCUUUGUCUUUCUUGAACAAUCCGAGAAGACGGUUACAUUGUGUUUCUUUUGGUCUUCCUCCGGCUAAGGAAUGCGGCUCUAUGUUGUCUUCUGGUUUGGAAAGGAGGAGUUUGGGGAUUCCUGUUCUCUUGUUCCAGAGGAACUAUCGUUCUGGUUCAGUCAAGCCGUGCAAGAGUUGGGAGACUGAGGGGGAUUUUGCUCUAGAGGCAGAGAUUUUGGAGUUCAUGCGGAAAUCUGAUAAUCCUUCUGUUUUUCCGACCAAGAAAGAGUUGAUUGAUGCUGGGAGAAUGGACUUGGUGGAGGCCAUUGGCAAGCGAGGCGGUUGGCUCGCAUUGGGCUGGGACUUAGAGGAGGAGGAGGCAGAGAUGCUUCAAGAGGAUGAGUUUCAGGGUUCAGUUUCUUUAACGGCAAAAGAAGUUGAUGAUGGUUCAAUUCAUAGGGAUAUUAGAAAAAGCUUGAAACAGAGGUCUGACGGAAGUAAUGAGAGUCUUGCUGUCGAUGGCCUCGAGGUUGGCCUCUCCGAGGUUGUACCCUCCUCCACCCCUCCUCCUUGUCUAGCUACAGAUACUGAUGGAUCACCGCAAAUGGUGGCUGGAGUGGAGGCAGGGAUCGAGGGUAUUCUGAGUCGCCUGGAGAAAGAGAGAAGUCUGCGCUUUGGUGUUGGCUCUAGAGCAAAAGAAAAUCGUAGCAUUUCUGACUUCAGGAAUGGGGAAGAAGACGACUGGCAACCUAAAGUCUCAGCAGAUGUAGUUACUAGCCUUGGAAGAAGCAGCAGAUCUAAAUAUUUGAGCACCAGUAAGGAGUUUCUAGGUGAUGCCCAUGAUGUUCAUUUUCAGAAUAGAUCUAUCCUAAAUGCUGAUGGCAUAAGAAGCUCAUUUAAGCCUGAAAUGUGGAGAAAAUGGAGCACUCAGAGGGCAGCAUUUUCAAAUGCUGAAUUUGAAGCCUCUGAUGUUGUUCCCAGUGAAAGUAGAGUGGAGAAGGUAGAGGAUAGUAUGGAAGAUGAGAUGUUCACAAAAGAGAAGGAUGAAAAUGAUACUAAUUAUGUACCAAAAGGUCCAGUUUUUGGUGAUAAAACGAAUGAACCUAAUCACAUACGAUCUCGCCUUCAGAACCUGGAGGCUGAGCUUGGUUCUGUACUUGACUUGUUGAGGUCAAGAGCCGAUGCAUUGCAUAAGGGUCAUGAAAGCUCUUUGGAGGAGUUACAGAGGCUGUCUGAUGAUUGGGAAUUCCAGGAAACUACAAUCAUGAAAGCUCAAGACAAGCUGCGGUCUACCCGUGCAAAUUUAGUAGUACUAGAAGGCAAGAUAGCAUUAGCGAUCAGUGAAGCACAAAAAAUAGUCGAAGAGAAACAGAGGAGGAUUGAUGGUGCUCAAAGCGCUCUACGCCUUCUCCGGACUGUAUGCAUAAUCUGGCCUAUGCCAGCCUCUGAAGUUCUAUUAGCUGGGUCAUUUGAUGGUUGGGCUAGUCAGAGAAGGAUGGAGAGUUCAAGUGGAGGCAUAUUUUCAUUGUGUCUGAAGUUGUAUCCUGGUAGAUACGAGUUCAAGUUUAUUGUGGAUGGUGUGUGGAAGACUGAUCCCCUGCGUCCUAUUGUACGUAGCAACGGAUAUGAAAAUAAUCUCCUUAUUGUCUCGUAAUAAAUGCGAAUAAUGGAAGUCGAGCAAUACAUCUUCUCUUGGUCGCAUCAUCUCACAAAGGCACAUGGUGAACAAUUUAUCGAAUCGAGUGUAAACCUGGAGUACCAUGAGUGGUUGGUUGAUCAGAAGAGCAAAAAUUGAUUCAGCCAAGCCUUGUCUCAGCAUCUAUAAAUGUCAUGUCUCUGCAAGUAUUCAUUUAUACCAUUUGUUAUCACUGAUCAGUCUCAUUCAUAUAUCUUCCCCAUAGUAAAGAUGAAGUAUCCCUACCAAUUAUGGUGCUCAUUGGAUGGACUUGGCUUAGCAUGUAGAAUGUUGUGGAUACCACUAAUACAAUUUACUGAAGAAUACAUUUCCAAGAGAACUGUAAACAA